rnacentral:rRNA from 1 species
UACAGAGGUCCCAAGCGUUGUUCGGAUUCACUGGGCGUAAAGGGUGCGUAGGUGGUGAGGUAAGUCGGAUGUGAAAUCUCCAGGCUCAACCUGGAAAUGGCAUCGGAAACUACCUUGCUCGAGGUUUGGAGGGGGGACUGGAAUACUUGGUGUAGCAGUGAAAUGCGUAGAUAUCAAGUGGAACACCAGUGGCGAAGGCGAGUCCCUGGACAAAACCUGACACUGAGGCACGAAAGCUAGGGGAGCAAACAGG